AGGCUAAGUGAGCCAUGAAAUGUGAAAAUCUGAAACAAAUGAAACUGAGGAGGAAAUUCAAACAUGUCCAGAGCAACAAAUACGGAAGAAAUCAUUGUAUGUAUUCUCAUUGGCCUCUGAUUCAACUGUUUGCAUCCUCUCUCUUCAUGCUGAUCAUCUAGUGAGGCCCCUGGCUCUGGCACUUCAGCCUUCAUCUGCCCUCAGCCAGUAUUCACCAGGCAUGAAGAAAUGGCUCUCCCCUCAGCUGUAACAGGCAGAAAAACUGCCCUUUAUACCCAGUGC